rnacentral:rRNA from 1 species
UUGAAGAGUUUGAUCAUGGCUCAGAUUGAACGCUGGCGGCAGGCCUAACACAUGCAAGUCGAACGGUAACAGGAAACAGCUUGCUGUUUCGCUGACGAGUGGCGGACGGGUGAGUAAUGUCUGGGAAACUGCCUGAUGGAGGGGGAUAACUACUGGAAACGGUAGCUAAUACCGCAUAACGUCGCAAGACCAAAGAGGGGGACCUUAGGGCCUCUUGCCAUCGGAUGUGCCCAGAUGGGAUUAGCUAGUAGGUGGGGUAAAGGCUCACCUAGGCGACGAUCCCUAGCUGGUCUGAGAGGAUGACCAGCCACACUGGAACUGAGACACGGUCCAGACUCCUACGGGAGGCAGCAGUGGGGAAUAUUGCACAAUGGGCGCAAGCCUGAUGCAGCCAUGCCGCGUGUAUGAAGAAGGCCUUCGGGUUGUAAAGUACUUUCAGCGGGGAGGAAGGGAGUAAAGUUAAUACCUUUGCUCAUUGACGUUACCCGCAGAAGAAGCACCGGCUAACUCCGUGCCAGCAGCCGCGGUAAUACGGAGGGUGCAAGCGUUAAUCGGAAUUACUGGGCGUAAAGCGCACGCAGGCGGUUUGUUAAGUCAGAUGUGAAAUCCCGGGCUCAACCUGGGAACUGCAUCUGAUACUGGCAAGCUUGAGUCUCGUAGAGGGGGGUAGAAUUCCAGGUGUAGCGGUGAAAUGCGUAGAGAUCUGGAGGAAUACCGGUGGCGAAGGCGGCCCCCUGGACGAAGACUGACGCUCAGGUGCGAAAGCGUGGGGAGCAAACAGGAUUAGAUACCCUGGUAGUCCACGCCGUAAACGAUGUCGACUUGGAGGUUGUGCCCUUGAGGCGUGGCUUCCGGAGCUAACGCGUUAAGUCGACCGCCUGGGGAGUACGGCCGCAAGGUUAAAACUCAAAUGAAUUGACGGGGCCCGCACAAGCGGUGGAGCAUGUGGUUUAAUUCGAUGCAACGCGAAGAACCUUACCUGGUCUUGACAUCCACGGAAGUUUUCAGAGAUGAGAAUGUGCCUUCGGGAACCGUGAGACAGGUGCUGCAUGGCUGUCGUCAGCUCGUGUUGUGAAAUGUUGGGUUAAGUCCCGCAACGAGCGCAACCCUUAUCCUUUGUUGCCAGCGGUCCGGCCGGGAACUCAAAGGAGACUGCCAGUGAUAAACUGGAGGAAGGUGGGGAUGACGUCAAGUCAUCAUGGCCCUUACGACCAGGGCUACACACGUGCUACAAUGGCGCAUACAAAGAGAAGCGACCUCGCGAGAGCAAGCGGACCUCAUAAAGUGCGUCGUAGUCCGGAUUGAGUCUGCAACUCGACUCCAUGAAGUCGGAAUCGCUAGUAAUCGUGGAUCAGAAUGCCACGGUGAAUACGUUCCCGGGCCUUGUACACACCGCCCGUCACACCAUGGGAGUGGGUUGCAAAAGAAGUAGGUAGCUUAACCUUCGGGAGGGCGCUUACCACUUUGUGAUUCAUGACUGGGGUGAAGUCGUAACAAGGUAACCGUAGGGGAACCUGCGGUUGGAUCACCUCCUU